CGAAUCCAAAUGACAGUCUUCUCCACAUGCUUUAUUGUGAUUAAAGUUAAACCCGAAAAAAUAAGCUUCAAAAUGGGAAAGGGAGGCAGAGCGCCAUCCUGCAAAUUGCUCUAUCACCUGUGAAGUGCCAUGAAACCAUGAAAGGGCCUUCCUUUUUGAAGCAAAGGAUGAAUAAGGAAAUAUUUCAUCUGUGCUGAGCAUAGAAGAGGAAGUUGGUUUUAAGACACAGAUCACUUAUCUUCUGGAUGAAAGACAGAUCGGAUUUCCAAAACUUCCAUUUUCCCAUUUCAUGUCGUCCGCAAGGAAAACGGCUGAAGAUUUUGAUUCCUGAGAUUCUUCUCUCUGCUGCAAAUCAUGAUGCUUACCCUUAUGGAAAAAUAAAAGAUGGUGUGAGAUGAACCCUGGCCACACUCUCCUUACCGUCUAGAAGUGAAGAUGAGGUUAGAGAGUCUCUACAAUCUCUUUCUUCCAAAGAGCUGUCCUCCAUCGACACCGAACACCUGUAGUUUUAAUACAGCUUCCGCACACAGAGUUUCCUUGCUUUCUCUUGCUUGGAUUUUGGAUUAUAUCAUUACAAGGGCAAAUCAAGAAGAGGCUUAA
rnacentral:lncRNA from 1 species